GAUGAACGCUAGCUACAGGCUUAACACAUGCAAGUCGAGGGGUAACGAGAGGGAAGCUUGCUUUCCUUGUCGACGACCGGCGCACGGGUGAGUAACGCGUAUCCAACCUGCCCCCAACUAGGGAAUAACCUUGCGAAAGUAAGACUAAUACCCUAUAAUUUCCUCAGAUGUCAUCUGACGAGGAAUAAAGAUUUAUCGGUUGUGGAUGGGGAUGCGUCUGAUUAGCUUGUUGGCGGGGUAACGGCCCACCAAGGCAACGAUCAGUAGGGGUUCUGAGAGGAAGGUCCCCAACAUGGGAACUGAGACACGGUCCAAACUCCUACGGGAGGCAGCAGUGAGGAAUAUUGGUCAAUGGGCGGAAGCUUGAACCAGCCAAGUAGCGUGCAGGAUGACGGCCCUAUGGGUUGUAAACUGCUUUUAUACAGGAAUAAAGUUAGCCACGUGUGGUUAUUUGUAGGUACUGUAUGAAUAAGGACCGGCUAAUUCCGUGCCAGCCGCCGCGGUAA
rnacentral:rRNA from 1 species